rnacentral:rRNA from 1 species
GACGAACGCUGGCGGCGUGCUUAACACAUGCAAGUCGAACGGAAAGGCCCCUUUGGGGGUACUCGAGUGGCGAACGGGUGAGUAACACGUGAGUAACCUGCCCUUGACUUCGGGAUAACUUCAGGAAACUGGGGCUAAUACCGGAUAGGAAUCCUUGCUGCAUGGUGGGGGUUGGAAAGCUUCGGCGGUUUUGGAUGGACUCGCGGCUUAUCAGCUUGUUGGUGGGGUAGUGGCUUACCAAGGCUUUGACGGGUAGCCGGCCUGAGAGGGCGACCGGCCACAUUGGGACUGAGAUACGGCCCAGACUCCUACGGGAGGCAGCAGUGGCGAAUAUUGCACAAUGGGCGGAAGCCUGAUGCAGCAACGCCGCGGGCGGGAUGACGGCCUUCGGGUUGUAAACCGCUUUCAGCAGGGGCGAAGCUUGUGGUGACGGUACCUGCAGAAGAAGCACCGGCUAACUACGUG